rnacentral:sRNA from 1 species
GUCGUGAGAUGUUGGGUUAAGUCCCGCAACGAGCGCAACCCCCGUUUUCAGUUGCCAGCGGGUAAUGCCGGGGACUCUGGAAAGACUGCCGGUGCUAAACCGGAGGAAGGUGGGGACGACGUCAAGUCAUCAUGGUCCUUACGUCUAGGGCUACACACGUGCUACAAUGGCCGGUACAGCGGGUCGCAAAUGCGCAAGCAUGAGCCAAUCCCCAAAGCCGGCCUCAGUGCGGAUUGGAGGCUGCAACUCGCCUCCAUGAAGCUGGAAUCGCUAGUAAUCGUGGAUCAGCUACGCCACGGUGAAUACGUUCCCGGGCCUUGUACACACCGCCCGUCACGCCAUGGAAGCUGUGAGCGCCCGAAGUCCGUGUCGGAACCCGCAAGGGACCAAGCGGCCGAAGGCGAGCGCAGUGACUGGGGCGAAGUCGUAACAAGGUAGCCGUAGGGGAACCUGCGGCUGGAUCACCUCCUUAACGGAUUAUGAGUAGGUAGCCGGCACCAUUGGUCUACUGAAAGAAAUCUUGUAGUCGCUCUGCACGUACAUCUCAUCCAACUCGAUUGUUAGCUGGACGCCACCGCCCACAAGGCGGUGUUUGCGUCAGUGCUAUUUGACAACGGAACGAAUGGUAGAUCGUGGGAUGGAAGAAUCACACGAGCAAGCAAAGAGCUGAUGCUGCAAAGCAUCUGAGUUUUGAGUGCUCACUCGUGAACAAAAAGAACGAAGCGGUUGCGCCGGGUUUGCGUCCGGAGAGCGCCGUUAUGAGCGUGCUCUGCUUGGAUACAUGGAUCGAGAAGCGGCGAAAGCAUUGUUGUCCCGAUGAGGCGAUGCGACGUCUAUUUCUUUUGUAGUCAAGCGAGCGAUAGCAUGUGGAGGAUGCCUGGGCACACAGAGGCGAUGAAGGCCGUGGUAAGCUGCGAUAGGCCAGGGGGAGCGGCACACACGCACUGAUCCCUGGAUGG